rnacentral:rRNA from 1 species
AUACGGAGGGUGCAAGCGUUAUUCGGAAUCACUGGGCGUAAAGGGUGCGUAGGCGGUUUGAUAAGUCUGAUGUGAAAUCCUAUGGCUCAACCAUAGAACUGCAUUGGAAACUGUCAGACUAGAAUACUGAAGGGGCAGAUGGAAUUAGUGGUGUAGGAGUAAAAUCCGUAGAUAUCACUAGGAAUACCGAAAGCGAAAGCGAUCUGCUGGGAAGUUAUUGACGCUGAGGCACGAAAGCGUGGGGAGCAAACGGGAUUAGAAACCCUAGUAGUCC